UAAGACACAGCUCCUAAUGACAUUAGAAACAUAUGGCACAGAUCCUUACUGUGUAUCACUUAACUACGGUGAGGACUACAUUAAAAACUAAGCAUAAUCAUUCAUUUGUCAAGAAUGAUGACAACGCAGCAUGUGUACCAUUACUAAGAAUGGAUUCCAUAUGAGAUCAAGAAGAAGAUGUCAUCACCACAUUAUCUAAAUACUACAUUAUACCUUUGUUCACUGCAGCAGGGGACAAUCCGGCAAAAAGCGAAACAAAAAUAAAGAAAGAAACUAAUCUUUUGUAUGAUCCCGGAAAAACGUACAUGCCUUUACCAAACAAAAGAAAGAGGAAAGCUGUUUUGUUGGUUUCUUUUGAUUGAAUCAGCUUUCUUUGAAAGUUAUUAUAAACAAUAACAGACCUUUAUAAAUCAAAGACUGGGUGGACUGGGUGGGUGGCAAUAGAUACAUGCUACUCAAUGACAACAAUACAUUAUCAAAGAUAAAAUAAAUUAAAAAUAAAUUAAUUUCCUUUAAAAUGAUUUUCUUUGACUGUCAAAACCAACAAUAUUUAGGCUAAUGCAGAAAAUAUUGUACUUCUAAACAUUUCUACAUUCGUUUUUAUUUUGCAUUCAAAACAAAUACAAUUGCACUCUCUAAAAGGCAUUGGAAACUUUGUGACUGCUGCUCACUUUUUUUUUUUAUCUAGGUAACAUAAUUUAUAUGGAUAAAGCAGUCCAGCA